rnacentral:siRNA from 1 species
AGGUGAUCUAUAGAAUUCUUCAUC